CCUACGGGUGGCAGCAGUGGGGAAUAUUGGGCAAUGGGCGCAAGCCUGACCCAGCAACGCCGCGUGAAGGAAGAAGGCUCUCCGGGUGUAAACUUCUUUUAUCAGGGGCGAAGCACGUGACGGUCCCUGAUGACUAAGCCACGGCUAACUACGUGCCAGCAGCCGCGGUAAUACGUAGGUGGCAGGCGUUAUCCGGAUUUACGGGGUGUACAGGGCGUGUAGGCGGGAACGCAAGUCAGAUGUGAAAACCAUGGGCUCAACCUGGGGCCUGCAUUUGAAACUGUUGUUCUUGAGUACUGGAGAGGCAGACGGAAUUCCUAGUGUAGCGGUGAAAUGCGUAGAUAUUAGGAGGAACACCAGUGGCGAAGGCGGUCUGCUGGACAGCAACUGACGCUGAGGCGCGAAAGCGUGGGGAGCAAACAGGAUUAGAUACCCCUGUAGUC
rnacentral:rRNA from 1 species